AUUACUCCUACGGGAGGCAGCAGUGGGGAAUAUUGGACAAUGGGCGCAAGCCUGAUCCAGCCAUGCCGCGUGAGUGACGAAGGCCUUAGGGUUGUAAAGCUCUUUUGGCGGGGAAGAUAAUGACGGUACCCGCAGAAUAAGCUCCGGCUAACUUCGUGCCAGCAGCCGCGGUAAUAAU
rnacentral:rRNA from 1 species